rnacentral:rRNA from 1 species
GGGCCCGCACAAGCGGUGGAGUAUGUGGUUUAAUUCGAUGCAACGCGAAGAACCUUACCAGGGUUUGACAUCCUGCGAAUCUCUUGGAAACGAGAGAGUGCCUUCGGGAACGCAGUGACAGGUGGUGCAUGGCUGUCGUCAGCUCGUGUCGUGAGAUGUUGGGUUAAGUCCCGCAACGAGCGCAACCCACGUCUUUAGUUGCCAGCAUUAGUUGGGCACUCUAGAGAGACUGCCGGUGAUAAACCGGAGAAGGUGUGGAUGACGUCAAGUCAUCAUGCCCCUUACAUCUGGGCUACACACGUACUACAAUGGCAAGUACAACGAGUCGCAAUACCGCGAGGUGGAGCAAAUCUCUUAAAGCUUGUCUC